rnacentral:lncRNA from 1 species
CUUGUUGUGAAUUGGGUUCAUUUGAAGAAGUAAAGGACUCUUAUUUCUGAGAUCUUCUUCUUUGUACUCAUAUUUAACACUCUUUUCAGCUAAUGCAAUUCUUGCUCUCAUACCAAACAUGCUAGCCCAUGUAUCUAACAGAAUUACCUCGUUUGCCAUGAUUGUAAAAAAUCCUAAGUUGCCGAGUGAGAACUGGCUAGUGCUAGUUAUUUAUGAAGUGGGUCGUUUUCAUAUUUUUUGACAAAAUGUGUGACCAUUUUUUGGAUAAGAUUUGUAUGAUAUAGAAAAUUCUGAAAUGUACUUUUGUUGGAAACAUUUUCUUACAAUUUCAUAGAAGAUGAUAUUUCUCAUCAUCUUAGCAUUUUCUUUUAUA